GUGCGAAAACGAACCCUCCCGACGGGUAAGGGGUCAGUUACCUUUCGGUCGGGUUUGUGCGAAAACGAACCCUCCCGACGGGUAAGGGGUCAGUUACCCUUCGGUCGGGUUUGUGCGAAAACGAACCCUCCCGACGGGUAAGGGGUCAGUUACCUUUCGGCGGGUUUGUGCGAAAACGAACCCUCCCGACGGGUAAGGGGUCAGUUACCCUUCGGUUGGGUUUGUGCGAAAACGAACCCUCCCGACGGGUAAGGGGUCAGUUACCCUUCGGUCGGGUUUGUGUGAAAACAAACUCUCCCGACACUGGAGAAGUGAAAACUACUCCAGUGACAACAAAAUCUCCAGCGACUCAUGGGGGAGAAAAGUCCUCAAGGGACCCACCCACUCUCCAACUGCUCCCAACAAUGGCCGAUGGAAAAGACCUUCGCUGUCAUCGCUCAUGGAUGAUCUCAGUGCUCCUGCUAUCGGGCUCAGAUGUCUUAAGAAAUGCUGCAGGACUUCUGCUGGAUCAUCUUGUUUUUCGUCUUGGAUUUUGCCCUUCAUCGGAUCCCCAUCAUCCGAUAGAAAAGGCCAUCAUCUCCUCCUCCCACCCCUUGCUGAUGGAUGACACUAAUUACCCUAACAGUCUCAGUAGUCUUCCUCAAGAAAUACUGCAGGAACCAUCCUGGAUCAUUGCCCCAACAACAAUGGAAAAGAACCUAAAUGCCACCCCACUGAUGGAUGACCUUUGUGACCCUGCCAUCGGGCUCAGCAGUCUUCCUCAAAAAAUGCUGCUGGAAUCCACCUGGAUCAUCUUUGUUUUUUUUCCCAAUCCGCAGACAGAAGAAGUAGCUGAACUUGAACACUUAUCAAAAGGACUUCAGUUUAUCUUUUGUUUUUGUUUUCUUUCUACCAAAAACUGGAUAAGUCUUCAGUCUGGUACUUUGGGCUCAUUUAGCCAUUUUUUUUUAUUAAGAAUUCUGUUUAGAGAGUUCAUAAUUCUUUUUGUUAUAUUUAUUUUACAUG